UGAGGGAGUAGGAUGUAUGGU
rnacentral:miRNA from 2 species